rnacentral:rRNA from 1 species
GAUUGAAAGUAGUGCUGUCAAAAUCAGCGCUUUCUCUCAUCACAAUUUCAACGAAUCAAGCAAGAGAUCCUUUGUAGACGACUUAGCUUGGACGGGGUACUGUAAGCAUGAGAGUAGGCCUUGCCCUACGAUCUGCUGAGGUUUGGCCUUCGUUCCGUUGAUC